AACGAACGCUGGCGGCAGGCCUAACACAUGCAAGUCGAGCGAGGACUUCGGUUCUAGCGGCGGACGGGGGAGUAACGCGUGGGAAUGUGCCCUUCUCUACGGAAUAGCCCUGGGAAACUGGGAGUAAUACCGUAUACGCCCUAUUGGGGAAAGAUUUAUCGGAGAAGGAUCAGCCCGCGUUGGAUUAGGUAGUUGGUGGGGGAAUGGCCCACCAAGCCGACGAUCCAUAGCUGGUUUGAGAGGAUGAUCAGCCACACUGGGAGUGAGACACGGCCCAGACUCCUACGGGAGGCAGCAGUGGUGAAUCUUAGACAAUGGGGGCAACCCUGAUCUAGCCAUGCCGCGUGAGUGAUGAAGGCCUUAGGGUUGUAAAUCUCUUUCAGCUGGGAAGAUAAUGACGGUACCAGCAGAAGAAGCCCCGGCUAACUCCGUG
rnacentral:rRNA from 1 species